GUAAACUUCUUUUAUCUGGGAAGAAACCUCAGUAUUCUUAUUGAGCCGACGGUACCAGAGGAAUAAGCACCGGCUAACUCCGUGCCAGCAGCCGCGGUAAUACGGAGGGUGCAAGCGUUAUCCGGAUUCACUGGGUUUAAAGGGUGUGUAGGCGGGCUAUUAAGUCAGUGGUGAAAUCUCCGGGCUCAACCCGGAAACUGCCAUUGAUACUAUUAGUCUUGAAUUCUGUUGAGGUAGGCGGAAUAUAUCAUGUAGCGGUGAAAUGCUUAGAUAUGAUAUAGAACACCGAUUGCGAAGGCAGCUUACUAAGCAGAUAUUGACGCUGAGGCACGAAAGCGUGGGGAUCAAACAGGAUUAGAUACCCUGGUAGUCCACGCCCUAAACGAUGAUUACUCGACAUACGCGAUAUUACUGUGUGUGUCUGAGCGAAAGCAUUAAGUAAUCCACCUGGGAAGUACGUCCGCAAGGAUGAAACUCAAG
rnacentral:rRNA from 1 species